rnacentral:rRNA from 1 species
CCUACGGGAGGCAGCAGUGAGGAAUAUUGGUCAAUGGCCGGAAGGCUGAACCAGCCAAGCCGCGUGAAGGAUGAAGGUGCUAAGCGUUGUAAACUUCUUUUGUCAAGGAAUAAAAUCCCUUACGUGUCCGUGAUUGCGUGUACCGUAUGAAAAAGGACCGGCUAAUUCCGUGCCAGCAGCCGCGGUAAUACGGAAGGUCCGGGCGUUAUCCGGAUUUAUUGGGUUUAAAGGGAGCGUAGGCCGGAUGUUAAGUGUGCUGUGAAAGGCCCGGGCUCAACCCCGGCGUGGCGGUGCAAACUGGCUGUCUUGAGUCGGCGGGAGGUAGGCGGAAUGCGCGGUGUAGCGGUGAAAUGCUUAGAUAUUGCGAAGAACCCCGAUUGCGAAGGCAGCAUGCCGGAGGGGAACUGACGCUGAGGCACGAAAGCGUGGGUAUCGAACAGGAUUAGAUACCCGAGUAGUC